UGCAGAAUCCCGUGAACCAUCGAGUCUUUGAACGCAAGUUGCGCCCAAGGGACCCUCCCGAGGGCACGCCUGCCUCAUGGGCGUUAGAAGCCCAUCCACGCUCGGUUGCCUAACUAACGGCAAAGAAGCGGAUGUUGGCCCUCCGAACCGCGAGGCGCGGUGGGCCUAAGUGUGCGGCCGUCGUACGUGGCCGGGAGCGGCGAGUGGUGGGCUACUGCGCACGUCACCCCGAGCCCCGUAACGACACAGGGCCUUGUUGGAACCCCUAACGAGGAGCAUCCCGCCGCGGCUUGUGCUGCGCGGGGCCUUCGGACCGAUACCCCAGGUCAGGCGGGGCUACCCGCCGAGUUUAAGCAUAUAAAUAAGCGGAGGAGAAGAAACUUACAAGGAUUCCCCUAGUAACGGCGAGCGAACCGGGAGAUGCCCAGCCUUAGAAUCGCGGCGGCACUGCUGUCCGA
rnacentral:rRNA from 1 species